rnacentral:rRNA from 1 species
UACGGAGGAUGCGAGCGUUAUCCGGAUUUAUUGGGUUUAAAGGGAGCGCAGGCGGACGCUUAAGUCAGUUGUGAAAUCCCGCGGCUCAACCGUGGAAUUGCAGUUGAUACUGGGCGUCUUGAGUGCGGCAGAGGCAUGCGGAAUUCGUGGUGUAGCGGUGAAAUGCUUAGAUAUCACGAAGAACUCCGAUUGCGAAGGCAGCAUGCUGGGCCGUUACUGACGCUGAGGCUCGAAAGUGCGGGUAUCAAACAGG